rnacentral:rRNA from 1 species
GCUUGUCUCAAAGAUUAAGCCAUGCAUGUCUAAGUAUAAACAAAUCUAUACGUGAAACUGCGAAUGGCUCAUUAUAUCAGUUAUAGUUUAUUUGAUAGUCCCCACUACUUGGAUAACCGUAGUAAUUCUAGAGCUAAUACAUGCAUCAAACCCCGACUCACGAAGGGGUGUAUUUAUUAGAUGGAAACCAAUGCGGGGCAACCCGGUAUAUGGUGAUUCAUAAUAACUUUCGGAUCGAUCUUCGGAUCGAUGCAUCAUUCAAGUUUCUGCCCUAUCAGCUUUGGAUGGUAGGGUAUUGGCCUACCAUGGCUUUAACGGGUAACGGAGAAUUAGGGUUCGAUUCCGGAGAGGGAGCCUGAGAAAUGGCUACCACAUCCAAGGAAGGCAGCAGG